rnacentral:lncRNA from 1 species
GAUUAGAGCUGUAAUGUGGUGUGGUGAAAAGAAGGGGAUUUGGGAUUAUAUGAUUUUAGAGUGAGGGUGACUGUUUUUGAACAAAGUCAUAGUUUCUUUUCAUGUAUGGUGCAGUUUAUGAGCAUGAUGUUGUAGCUUGAACUACACGAGACAAUUCUUAUUACUAGUGAUUGCAGAUCAGCCAUCAUAGCUCACAGUCGAGUGUUCACACCAAAACAAAUCAAGAAGUUUGCAUUGAAAAAUUGGUCUACACUAAUUAAAAACUUAUACUAAACUAAAGUCGUGGCUUCCACACAAAGCUGAUGAAGUACUGCCAUACUGGCUAUAGGUCUAAUCAUAAUGACCAUUA